CGGAAAAGAGGCAAGAUGGUGGCAUAGUUGGAAACUGCCAGCCUAGCUGUGUCCUAUCUUGCCACUUGGCCG